rnacentral:rRNA from 1 species
ACGGGUGAGUAACGCGUGGGAAUCUACCGUGCCCUGCGGAAUAGCUCCGGAAACUGGAAUUAAUACCGCAUACGCCCUACGGGGGAAAGAUUUAUCGGGGUAUGAUGAGCCCGCGUUGGAUUAGCUAGUUGGUGGGGUAAAGGCCUACCAAGGCGACGAUCCAUAGCUGGUCUGAGAGGAUGAUCAGCCACAUUGGGACUGAGACACGGCCCAAACUCCUACGGGAGGCAGCAGUGGGGAAUAUUGGACAAUGGGCGCAAGCCUGAUCCAGCCAUGCCGCGUGAGUGAUGAAGGCCUUAGGGUUGUAAAGCUCUUUCACCGGAGAAGAUAAUGACGGUAUCCGGAGAAGAAGCCCCGGCUAACUUCGUGCCAGCAGCCGCGGUAAUACGAAGGGGGCUAGCGUUGUUCGGAAUUACUGGGCGUAAAGCGCGCGUAGGCGGAUAUUUAAGUCAGGGGUGAAAUCCCAGAGCUCAACUCUGGAACUGCCUUUGAUGCUGGGUAUCUUGAGUAUGGAAGAGGUAAGUGGAAUUCCGAGUGUAGAGGUGAAAUUCGUAGA